UUCUUCCGCGUGUAUAUAAAAAAUGAUUAAUAGCGUCAUUUUGUGUGAUCAAUCAACAAGAAUUAAUUCUCCAUUUCCGAGACAAAUUCCGCGAGCGAAAGCGAAAGCGGCGCGUGCACGCUGGCUCGCUACCUGCAAGUCACGUGAUUUAACAGAAACGGCUGAGACCUCGGACGCGCGUGCGCAGACGUGAUUGAGGAGUGCGAUGCGAACGCCUUGUUGCCGCCCCACGCCUUUGAAGUGCGAAAACGAAAGUAAGAUGUUUCCAGUACGGCGUCGAGCUGCAAGUCUAAACAACAUCAUUUGCUUGUUGACUGCUCCGCCCCCGCACUUCCCUCAAGUCGAGGCGAUCCGAUCUGAGAACCGGAUGUGGACCAGAAGCGGCAUGGCCUGGCCAAGUGGACCGAGCGCCUGAUGGUCUGUGCCUGCGGCGAACAGGAGCGGGAAGAGUACAACAUGUGGCGCUCCACAGGAGGGUUCUCUUUUCUAGGAUGGUUAGAGAUAACCUUGGUAAAACCGUAGCAGAGAAUGAAAAGCACAACCAUGCUCCUGACGAGCCUGCGAGAACUCCUCAAAUCCACGAUCCAGGGAGCCAGGAGCAACAGAACCAGGCCGAGGGGACACCCGAUGGGCUCUGGUGGGAGGAACUUGAAGCCGGGUGUCAGGUACUUAUCUCACUUUACAUCUGUCAUUGUACUGGAACAUGGUUUCACUUUCAUUACUUAGCUCAGCUGUCAUUAUACUGGAACAUGGAACUUUCAAAGGCCACAUUCUUUCCCUUUAUCGGAGUGUGAGAACACCAACACGGGAUUAGAACCCAUUCUUCAUAGUUCAUGAGAUCGUAUCGGAUAACACUUCCUCAUUUUUGUCAAUUGAUAAAUACAAAUCACACUUGUAAAAAAAAACGGUUUUACUAUAUGAAAUCACAUGUUUGGGGCAUUUUGUCUUGAAUGAAUACUGUAAGUUGACAAAAUAUAUUGACUGGAACCUAUUCUUCAUAGUUGUGAGAUCGUAUCGGAUAACGUUUUCUCAUUUUUGUCAAGAUCACAGAGUUCAUUCAACAUGGAGUGAAAUUACGGCCAAAAUGCCACAAACACACAAAAAUGUUUUUACUCACGCCCGACAAUUCGCAUGUAAAAAUAGAUUGGCAGGAAUUAGAACCAUUUCAUUUAAUUUAAAAAACUUGCAAGCAUUUUACAGGUUGAGCUUUUCUCUUCUGUCCGCCAUUUUACUCCCCAAUGCUUUGUGGGGGGCGGAUGGCACCAUGCGCAAAUAAGAUUAUCUCUGAGGGCCUUACGGUUUUUUCCAUUUGCUUACACACAAUUUUACAUACUGUGUGUCUUUUCAAAGGGAUUCAAACACUUUUCUCAAAAACACAACAUUCAAUUUUCUUAAUUCCUAAAUUAUUUGCAAAAUGACGCACUUCGGGUCAAAAUUUAUAUGCCCAUUCGUCAAAAUAAUCCAGCCAUUUGUAAAAAUGCAGUUUUACGGUCAUGUCACUCGCACACACUUCAAAUGAUAAGACACUAUUGGAGUGAGUUACACACAACACUGAUAAAUACAAAACACACUUGUAAAAAAAAAAAACGUUUUACUAUAUGAAAUCACAUGCUUGGGGCAUUUUGUCAUGAAUGAUUACUGUAAAUUGACAAAAUAUAUUAACUGGUACCUAUUCUUCAUAGUUCAUGAGAUCGUAUCGGAUAACAUUUCCUCAUUUUUGUCAACAUCACAAAGCUCAGACAACAUGGACGGAAAUUACGGCCUAAAUGCCACAAACACACUAAAUGUUUUUAUUCAUGCCCGACAAUUCGCAUGUGAAAAUAUAUUGGCAAGAAUUAGAACAAUUUUUAUUUAAUUAAAAAAACUUGCAAGCAUCUUACAGGUUGAGCUUGUCUCUUCUGCCCGCCAUUUUACUCCCCAAUGCUUUGUGGGGGGCGGAUGGCACCAUGCACAAAUAAGAUUAUCUCUGAGGGCCUUACAGUUUUUUCCAUUUGCUUACACACAAUUUUACAUACUGUGUGUCUUUUUUCAAAGGGAUUCAAACACUUUUCCCAAAACACAACAUUCAAUUUUCUUAAUUCCUAAAUUAUUUGCAAAAUGACGCACUUCGGGUCAAAAUGUAUAUGCCCAUUCCUCAAAAUAACCCAGGCAUUUGUAAAAAUGCAGUUUUACAGUCAUGUCACCCACACACACUUCAAAUGAUAAGACACUAUUGGAGUGAGUUACACACAACACUGAUAAAUACAAAACACAUUUGUAAAAAAAACAAAACGGUUUUACUCUAUGAAAUCACAUGUUUGGGGCAUUUUGUCAUAAAUGAUUACUGUAAGUUUACAAAAUAUAUUGACUCGAACCUAUUCUUCAUGGUUGUGAGAUCGUAUCAGAUAACGUUUCCUCAUUUUUGUCAAGAUCACAAAGUUCAUUCAACAUAGAGAGAAAUUACGGCCAAAACGCCACAAACACACAAAACGUUUUUACUCACGCCUGACAAUUCGCAUGAAAAAUAGAUUGGCAAGAAUUAGAACAAUUUCAUUUAAUAAAAAAACUUGCAAGCAACUUACAGGUUGAGCUUGUCUCUUCUGUCCGCCAUUUUACUCCCCAAUGCUUUGUGGGGGGCGGAUGGCACCAUGCGCAAAUAAGAUUAUCUCUGAGGGCCUUACAGUUUUUUCCAUUUGCUUACACACAAUUUUACAUACUGUGUGUCUUUUUUCAAAGGGAUUCAAACACUUUUCACAAAACACAACAUUCAAUUUUCUUAAUUCCUAAAUUAUUUGCAAAAUGACCCAUCCAUCCAUCCAUUUUCUACCGCUUAUUCCCUUUUUGGGGUCGCGGAGGGCGCUGUGUUGGCCCUGCGAUGAGGUGGCGACUUGUCCAGGGUGUACCCCGCCUUCCGCCCGAUUGUAGCAAAAUGACCCACUUCGGAUCAAAACUUAAAUGCCCAUUCCUCAAAAUAACCCAGCCAUUUGUAAAAAUGCAGUUUUACAGUCAUGUCACUCACACACACUUCAAAUGAUAAGACACUAUUGGAGUGAGUUACACACAACACUGAUAAAUACAAAACACACUUGUAAAAAAAAAAACGGUUUUACUAUAUGAAAUCACAUGUUUAGGGCAUUUUGUCAUGAAUGAUUACUUUAAGUUGACAAAAUAUAUUGACUGGAACCUAUUCGUCAUAGUUGUGAGAUCGUAUCGGAUAACGUUUCCUCAUUUUUGUCAACAUCACAAAGCUCAGACAACAUGGAGUGAAAUUACGGCCGAAACGCCACGAACACACAAAAUGUUUUUACUCACGCCCGACAAUUCGCAUGUAAAAAUAGAUUGGCAAAAAUGAGAACAAUUUCAUUUAAUAAAAAAAACCUGCAAGCAUCUUACAGGUUGAGCUUGUCUCUUCUGUCCGCCAUUUUACUCCCCAAUGCUUUGUGGGGGGCGGAUGGCACCAUGCGCAAAUAAGAUUAUCUCUGAGGGCCUUACAGUUUUUUUCCAUUUGCUUACACAGAAUUUUACAUACUGUGUGUCUUUUUUCAAAGGGAUUCAAACACUUUUCUCAAAACACAACAUUCAAUUUUCUUAAUUCCUAAAUUAUUUGCAAAAUGACGCACUUUGGGUCAAAAUUUAUAUGCCCAUACCUCAAAAUAACCCAGGGAUUUGUAAAAAUGCAGUUUUACAGUCAUGUCACUCACACACACUUCAAAUGAUAAGACACUAUUGGAGUGAGUUACACACAACACUGAUAAAUACAAAACACACUUGUAAAAAAAAAAAAGUUUUACUAUAUGAAAUCACAUGUUUGGGGCAUUUUGUCAUGAAUGAUUACUAUAAGUUGACAAAAUAUAUUGACUGGAACCUAUUCUUCAUAGUUGUGAGAUCGUAUCGGAUAACGUUUCCUCAUUUUUGUCAACAUCACAAAGCUCAGACAACAUGGACGGAAAUUACGGCCAAAAUGCCACAAACACACAAAUGUUUUUACUCACGCCCGACAAUUCGCAUGUAAAAAUAGAUUGGCAAGAAUUAGAACAAUUUCAUUUAAUAAAAAAAACUUGCAAGCAUCUAACAGGUUGAGCUUGUCUCUUCUGUCCGCCGUUUUACUCCCCAAUGCUUUGUGGGGGGCGGAUGGCACCAUGCGCAAAUAAGAUUAUCUCUGAGGGUCUUACAGUUUUUUCCAUUUGCUUACACACAAUUUUACAUACAGUGUGUCUUUUUUCAAAAGGAUUCAAAAUCUUUUCCCAAAACACAACAUUCAAUUUUCCUAAUUCCUAAAUUAUUUGCAAAAUGACGCAAUUCGGGUCAAAACUUAUAUGCCCAUUCCUCAAAAUAACCCAGGCAUUUGUAAAAAUGCAGAUUUAUAGUCAUGUCACUCACACUCACUUCAAAUGAUAAGACACUAUUGGAGUGAGUUCACACAACACUGAUAAAUACAAAACACAUUUGUAAAAAAAAAAAGGUUUUACUAUAUGAAAUCACAUGUAUGGGGCAUUUUGUUAUGAAUGAUUACUGUAAAUUGACAAAAUAUAUUGACU